rnacentral:misc_RNA from 1 species
GAAAUGCGAUAAGUAGUGUGAAUUGCAGAAUUCAGUGAAUCAUCGAAUCUUUGAACGCACAUUGCGCUUCCUGGCAUUCCGGGAAGCAUGCCCAUUUCAGAAUCAUUAAAUACACCUCACCAUCUCUGAUGGUGGACGUUGGACAGCUUGGCUUUGGUCAAUUGUCUCAAAGUGAUUGUGCUGGCUUCGGCUGUUGCUGGUUAGCUUGAAAGGUGCAAAAAGAUGAAUUAAAAGUUCGCUUCCCAUCUUAUGAGCUCUCCACUUGCAAUACCAGUGCCUUGCACUCCUAAUACUCAGGUUCCUCAGCUUUGCUGGAUAAUCUGUUAACUUGGUCUGAAAUUGGGCAAGAAAACCCGCUGAACUUAA